rnacentral:rRNA from 1 species
UACGAAGGGGGCUAGCGUUGUUCGGAAUUACUGGGCGUAAAGCGCGCGCAGGCGGUCUUCCAAGUCAGUGGUGAAAGCCCGGAGCUCAACUCCGGAACUGCCAUUGAAACUGUUAGACUUGAGGAUGAGAGAGGUGAGUGGAAUUCCCAGUGUAGAGGUGAAAUUCGUAGAUAUUCGCAAGAACACCAGUGGCGAAGGCGGCUCACUGGCCCGGUACUGACGCUGAGGUGCGAAAGCGUGGGGAGCAAACAGG